rnacentral:rRNA from 1 species
AUUGAACGCUGGCGGAAUGCUUUACACAUGCAAGUCGAGCGGCAGCGCGGCCUUCGGGCUGGCGGCGAGCGGCGAACGGGUGAGUAAUGCAUCGGAACAUGCCCAGUCGUGGGGGAUAACACUUCGAAAGAAGUGCUAAUACCGCAUACGUCCUGAGGGGGAAAGCGGGGGAUCGCAAGACCUCGCGCGAUUGGAGUGGCCGAUGUCAGAUUAGCUAGUUGGUGGGGUAAAGGCCUACCAAGGCGACGAUCUGUAGCUGGUCUGAGAGGAUGAUCAGCCACACUGGGACUGAGACACGGCCCAGGCUCCUACGGGAGGCAGCAGUGGGGAAUUUUGGACAAUGGGGGCAACCCUGAUCCAGCCAUUCCGCGUGAGUGAAGGAGGCCUUCGGGUUGUAAAGCUCUUUCGGCAGGAACGAAACGGUGGGCUCUAACAUAGUCCGCUAAUGACGGUACCUGAAGAAGAAGCACCGGCUAACUACGUG